AAAUGAAUUGACGGGGACCCGCACAAGCGGUGGAGUAUGUGGCUUAAUUCGAUGCAACGCGAAGAACCUUACCAGGGCUUGACAUGUAUCGCUAAUCUGGUGAAAGCCAGUGAGACUUCGGUCACUUUACACAGGUGCUGCAUGGCCGUCGUCAGCUCGUGUCGUGAGAUGUUGGGUUAAGUCCCGCAACGAGCGCAACCCCUGUGAUUAGUUGCCAGCACGUAAUGGUGGGGACUCUAAUCAGACUGCCCAGAUCAACUGGGAGGAAGGUGGGGAUGACGUCAGGUCAGUAUGGCCCUUACGCCCUGGGCUGCACACGUACUACAAUGCCCAGUACAAUUAGAACCGAUACCGCGAGGUGGAGGAAAUCUGUAAAACUGGGCCCAGUUCGGAUUGGAGGCUGCAACUCGCCUCCAUGAAGCCGGAAUCGCUAGUAAUGCUGCAUCAGCUACGGCAGCGUGAAUACGUUCCCGGGUCUUGUACACACCGCCCGU
rnacentral:rRNA from 1 species